UGAUCUGAUCUUGUUGAUUAUUUUGAUUCUUGAAUUCCUGAAUUGAGUCUGAUUUGAGCAACCUCUCUAUUUAUGUAUGAUAUAUUAAUAUUUCAUAUGAGCUUUUACUCAUAAUUAUCGGAUUUAAUUCUUAUGCUUAUUGCUUCUUUUUUAAAUAUUUGAGUUGUUCUGAGUCUGACUAUUCUAUUGUGUUUUGAAUUCAUAAUUAUUUAUGAUUUGAAAAAUCACCACUGUAUAUCCACAUUUGAUUAUUACCUGUCAUCAAACCUCUAUUCUAGUGUAGACUCAUACCUAAGUGGUCUUCAAAUUGCGUGGGUUGCUUGUUGGGCUGCAACCUUGGAGGCUUUGGAAAGGGAAUGAAGAAAUGAAUGUUGCAGUUGGAGUGUGAACUAAAUGUAAAGAAGAUGUUGAAGACGAUGGAGAAAGAGAUGGAGGUCCACAACCAAAAGCAGAAUCAGACAAAACUUGUUAGGCUUGACUCACUUGAUCAAGAGACCUCUCAUAUCUCUGGAAUGGCGACCAAGACAACCAAGGCACUGUCCAUAGCUGCUGUGAUGAAGCUUGCCAUCCAAAGGAUAGGAGUUGUAUAUGGAGAUAUUGGAACAUCUCCCUAAUGGACUGAUCACCUCAUUUUUCACCAAACAGAUAGUUGAAUUUAACAACAGAGAAGAAGAAGAAACGAAUACUUGAAAUUA